rnacentral:rRNA from 1 species
AAUAGAUACCCAGGUAGUCCUAGCUGUAAACGAUGAGCACUGGGUUGAGGGGACUUCCACAUCCUCUCGGCCGUAGCGAAAGCGUUAAGUGCUCCGCCUGGGGAGUAUGGCCGCAAGGCUGAAACUCAAAGGAAUUGACGGGGGCUCACACAAGCGGUGGAGGAUGUGGCUUAAUUCGAGGCUACGCGAAGAACCUUAUCCUAGAUUUGACAUGGUUGAGAAUCUCCUUGAAAGAGGAGAGUGCCCUUCGGGGAGCUCUUUCACAGGUGCUGCAUGGCUGUCGUCAGCUCGUGUCGUGAGAUGUUGGGUUAAGUCCCUUAACGAGCGAAACCCUUAUCUUUAGUUGCCAGCGGGUCAAGCCGGGGACUCUAAAGAGACUGCCGGUGUCAAACCGGAGGAAGGUGGGGAUGACGUCAAGUCCUCAUGGCCUUUAUGUCUAGGGCUGCACACGUCCUACAAUGGCACGUACAAAGGGAAGCCAAGCCGCGAGGCCGCGCUAAUCCCAAAAAGCGUGCCCCAGUUCGGAUUGCAGG